rnacentral:rRNA from 1 species
AACGAACGCUGGCGGCAGGCCUAACACAUGCAAGUCGAGCGCACCUUCGGGUGAGCGGCGGACGGGUUAGUAACGCGUGGGAACGUGCCCUUCUCUACGGAAUAGCCUCUGGAAACGGAGAGUAAUACCGUAUACGCCCUUUGGGGGAAAGAUUUAUCGGAGAAGGAUCGGCCCGCGUUAGAUUAGGUAGUUGGUGGGGUAAUGGCCUACCAAGUCUACGAUCUUUAGCUGGUUUUAGAGGAUGAUCAGCAACACUGGGACUGAGACACGGCCCAGACUCCUACGGGAGGCAGCAGUGGGGAAUCUUAGACAAUGGGCGCAAGCCUGAUCUAGCCAUGCCGCGUGAGUGAAGAAGGCCUUAGGGUCGUAAAACUCUUUCGCCAGAGAUGAUAAUGACAGUAUCUGGUAAAGAAACCCCGGCUAACUCCGUG